AAAAUGGUGCUGUGUUCAGCUAUCAGUGAGAUGUGAACUCACCCUCUCAUGAUGACCCUGCCUAUUCUAUUUUUACAGGCCUACUCUAUUUUUAUUUUCAUUACUUGUUUGGUUUUUUUCCUGUUUGUUUUGGUUUGAUUAUUUUGGUAACGUGCUCUCUUCUACAAAUAGGUACUUAACUGGAUAUGGACCUUAUUCCCUUUGUAUUUUCUGUUGAGAUCAAUAUUCUGAUUUGACUUGUGGAGUUACAGGGCUAUGAAAGCAGUUGGAGAGAGGUGUCUCACAGGAGCUGAAGGAAGGAAAAAGCCCAAAUCUCAUCAAAACUCUAUGAGAGCCAAGCCACAGCCUUUGGUCCUGCUGUUCUUAAUUUUUUGUGUUUUACUCUUUCUGAAAGGAAUUUGUGGUCCCUUGCUGAAUGGGAAGCAGACGGAUUCAGAGAUGACCUCUGUCUCAGAAAGUGAUGGUUACUGGAAUUUGGGAAGAUGUGCAAAGGGGACUCAACACCUUCCUUGUGAACUUUAUGUUAAGGAAGAGGCGGGAUUUUCACGGCAGCAAACAGCUCAGUGUGGAGCCAGAGAGAGAGAGAUGCCCCGACAGUGCCAGCGCCGCUUUUCCCUGCGUUAA
rnacentral:lncRNA from 1 species